UUUUCGUACGUUUUCGUUUUCAUCUUGUACCGUUAAGAAAGCUUUCUCACCUUCAACUCGACAAUCCUUUAUGCUUCCAGGGAUCCAUUGGCUUUGCUCAUCUGGAAUCCAGCAUUGACUACAUUUCGCAACAACAACAUUAGCAGGAUCCUUUAAAGACGAUUCUAAUAAACUUACAGUCCCUUGUAAUAAAUCCCCGAUGUCAUGACCGGUAGAAAUUACAAGACUCCCCGAACGCCUAAUUUAAACUAAACACAGCGUUUUGUUU